GGCGGCUGUGCAUGGGAGGCUUCGGCCUGCC
rnacentral:sRNA from 1 species